CAUCCAUCACGGCCACGUGGCCUGGGAUAACGGUUGAGGAAGACGGCCAUCAUUGCUGCCACACAGGCCCCAUCCGUCAUAGAAAGAAAAAUAAAAAAAUUGAAUAGAGGAAAAAAUAUUUUAUCUCCCCACGAGCCCACAGCCCAGCCACACAAAAGGAGAUCGGAUCGGGAGGCCAGUGCCUCGAUCCGCCGCCACGCACGGGAGCCUGGCAGCCGCAGCCGCCGGAGCUCCGACGAGCUGCUUCCCCGUGCCUUCUUAGUUCUCCUUCGUAUCCUUCUCCUCCUGUCAUCUUCCCCGAACACCUAGCCGCCAUGGCACACGGCCGCGCAUCAACUCCGGCGCCGCCGCGGUCGCGGGAGCUCCUAGCCCGAUGCCCCUGGUCGACCUCUCCAAAGCAACACCAGCAGCGCCGCCGGCUCCUGCGGCCCGCAGCGGCGACUGGCAAGGAGGUCACGGCUGGAGGCCAUGGCAUCCAUGGCGGGGCUCGCCGGAGCGGGCUGUGUCGCGGAUGAGGUUGCAGGAGGUGAUGGCGGCUCACGGCGCCCGCGUCCGUGAGUCCGGCAACGAGCUCCGGCGGCUGGAAGAAUGCGCCCGCCUGCCGGCGAGGCUCCUUGUGGUGCUGCCAUCGUCGAUGGAGCGCGCACGAGGAGACCGGCCAUCGACGAGGAGCGCGCCGCGGGCAGGCUGGAGCAUGACCGGAAGCUCUUGGGCGGCGGCGGUCUUCGGCACCGUCCACGCUACGAGCUGCGGCGGUGGCCGGGAUGGCAACCGGAUCGAGCAGAGGAGGGCUCAGGCGAGACGAGCAAGGAGGAAAAGGAGGGUCAGCGGUGGGGCAGUGCUCCGGUGGCGAGCUCGCUGGCGGGAGCAGCUCCGGCGGUGGAGUACGCUGCGAGCGAGCAUGUGCGGUGGUGGACAUGAUGCACACAACAUGCUCGAUAAAAUGUGCAGGUGAAGUGUAGAUGCUGACGGGUGGUCCCUUUUUGUUAACUUAACGUUCGAGCAGAUGCCGUUAGAUUUUGGUGCCACGUCAGCCUUCACAGCGGGCCCAACCUGUCAUAUUUUGCAUCAAACGGCUCUUAAUCAAACAUUUGGUGCUUUCAGCAAAGAAUUACUCAAAAUCAGUGUUUUCGGUAAACUUUUAUGAAAAUGGUGGUUUUUGGCAUUACGCGACGCAAUUGUGGUGGUUUUUGGCAAUUUACUCCCGAACCAACGCGCCUCCUCCUCCUCCGCCGCCGCCGCGCGCCUCCUGCGCCGCCUUCUCUCCCGCUCGCUCCCGGCACCGGUGCUCUUCCCUCUCCCCGGACCCCUCGUCGCGCUCCUACCGCUCCUCCUCUCCUCCAGCUCGCACUCCAUGGCCGCGCUGAGCUGCGAGGUGGUGGGUGCGGCGGCGCUGCAGUCCAUGGAGGCCGGCGAGGCGCUGACGUCCAACGGCAGGGUCGCCAGUGGCUUGGCGCGGGCGUUGGGGAGUGGCAGCCAGCGUGGUGGCGGAGUAUGUGGAUCCGGUGAGAAAGCAGGUUCAAGGUACAGACUGAUGCGGGAGAGCUGCAGCAGCAUCUGUAUGACGCUGCUGAGAAGACCCACCUGGGGGGUUGAUGCACAGCCGGAAGGUGUGGACUGUGAACGACCAUAUAAAGAAGGGGCAGGUCUUGGAUCACUAAAAUCGACAACGAAGAUUGCUUGGCAAGAUGACAGUAAUUCAUUUCUUAUUGUGACAUUUACUUUGAACCCAUGUAUUGUUUGUUUGUGUCACAUGCCUACAACCAACCUAGCAGGUGUUCUACCAAGCAAGGAAAUGCAAUGAAGAUACCACCACCAGUCCAUCACUGUUUUUUUACAGCCGAAGGUGACUGUAUGUUUGUUUAUUUCUAGUUUAAGAUGGCCACAUCAGUGUUGUGUUGUGUCAUACAAGUGAUUCACCAAUAUGUUUCUCUUACUUAACUGCUUCUUUACCCGAUAUUCUCGGAGAUGACAAAGAAGCAUUGAUCUGACAAGUAACACAUACCAGGUCAGUGCACUUUUAAUAAGCAGUGCAUUGAUCUGAAUUGUUGAAGAUGAUAUCUGGAUGUGUCUGUAUAGCAGCUGGUUUGCAAAGUUGAUCAUGGUGCUGCUAUUGGCGGGCACUUUAAGUUUUCUCUUUUCUUCCACGCUAUAUUAAUGCAGACACUCAAUCUCUGGCGGACGGAGUGUCUGUGCGUGAGCAGCGAGACGGCGGCUAAGGCUAGCGUGGAAGAGGGGUGAUCGACGCUGACUAGCGCAGCCGGUGGGCGCUGUGCUCUUCAACCACUCAGAGGCGGACUUCUCCAUGAAGCUGGUGGCCAUGUCGCGUAGAUGAUUGUCCAGGUGAUUUCGACGCCAGAGGUCGCCUAGGUGGAGGACCUCGACGCCACCGUUCGGGGGGAGGGAGGAUUCGGGUCCACCGGCGUCUAAGCUCCGAGCCUUGGUAGAUACAUCUAGAGAAGUUGUCUGUUUAGGUUGGUGGAUGGAACACCAGGGAAGGUACCCACCUUUCGAUGAUCAUUGUGUGUGUCUGAUGUUAAAUGGAAUCUUGAGAAUGUUAUGUGACGUUGGUUUGGUUUGCACUGGGCGUAUUGCCAUCCAUGAAUAUUACAUCUAACUUUUAUU